rnacentral:rRNA from 1 species
AAACUUUCAACAAUGGAUCUCUUGGUUCUGGCAUCGAUGAAGAACGCAGCGAAAUGCGAUAAGUAGUGUGAAUUGCAGAAUUUAGUGAAUCAUCGAAUCUUUGAACGCACAUUGCGCCCCUAGGUAUUCCUUGGGGCAUGCCUGUUCGAGCGUCAUUU